GUAAUGCCUGGUUCCCUUCGGGGCAUUGGAGACAGGUGGUGCAUGGUUGUCGUCAGCUCGUGUCGUGAGAUGUUGGGUUAAGUCCCGCAACGAGCGCAACCCUUACCUUCAGUAGCCAGCAUUUAAGGUGGGCACUCUGGAGGGACUGCCAGGGACAACCUGGAGGAAGGUGGGGAUGACGUCAAAUCAUCAUGCCCCUUAUGGCCAGGGCUACACACGUGCUACAAUGGCGUAAACAGAGGGAAGCGACCACGCGAGUGUGAGCAAAUCUCAAAAAUAACGUCUCAGUUCGGGUUGUAGUCUGCAACUCGACUACAUGAAGCUGGAAUCGCUAGUAAUCGCGGAUCAGAAUGCCGCGGUGAAUACGUUCCCGGGUCUUGUACACACCGCCCGUCACACCAUGGGAGUUGGAAACGCCCGAAGCCGGUGACCCAACCUAAACAGGAGGGAGCCGUCGAAGGCGGGUCCGAUGACUGGGGUGAAGUCGUAACAAGGUAGCCGUAUCGGAAGGUGCGGUUGGAUCA
rnacentral:rRNA from 1 species